UGGGGAAUAUUGCACAAUGAGCGCAAGCCUGAUGCAGCCAUGCCGCGUGUAUGAAGAAGGCCUUCGGGUUGUAAAGUACUUUCAGCGGGGAGGAAGGCGAUAAGGUUAAUAACCUUGUCGAUUGACGUUACCCGCAGAAGAAGCACCGGCUAACUCCGUGCCAGCAGCCGCGGUAAUACGGAGGGUGCAAGCGUUAAUCGGAAUUACUGGGCGUAAAGCGCACGCAGGCGGUCUGUCAAGUCGGAUGUGAAAUCCCCGGGCUCAACCUGGGAACUGCAUUCGAAACUGGCAGGCUAGAGUCUUGUAGAGGGGGGUAGAAUUCCAGGUGUAGCGGUGAAAUGCGUAGAGAUCUGGAGGAAUACCGGUGGCGAAGGCGGCCCCCUGGACAAAGACUGACGCUCAGGUGCGAAAGCGUGGGGAGCAAACA
rnacentral:rRNA from 1 species